AAUUAAAAUAUGAAUUAUUUGACCGUAACAAACAAGGCUGCAGUACAAUGUGGUCUUUUGUAAACCCAAAAACGUCCGUCAGCUGUGUUGGAUUCAGACCUUGACCUAAGAGAGCAGAAUGUAACUGUGUGAACUUAUGCUCGUUUGUUUCCCUCUUCUGACUUACAGGAUGACCUGAUGAUGGGAUUUGGUGGGAUUUAAAGAAGCAGUCGCAGCACGAAAGUCAUCAAACCUCAAUGAGCUGGAAGCUUUUAGAAGAUGGAAGAAUGGAGUCAGAAACUUGUUAGCACUUACCAGAGAGAUUAUCAAGGACAACAGAUAUUCCACUGGGUACUGAGGCUGAGGGUUGAAUAAUAGCACAUAUUGAUGUUUGU